AACGCACCUUGCGCCCCUUGGCAUUCCGAGGGGCACACCCGUUUGAGUGUCGUGAAAUUCUCAAAACCUUUCUUUGAAAGGAUUUUGGACUUGGAGGCCUUUUGCUGGUUUCAACUCGAAGCGAGCUCCUCCCAAACGAAUUAGUGGGGUCUGCUUUGCCGAUCCUUGACGUGAUAAGAUGUUUCUACGUCUCGGGUUUGGCACUGUAUCCGCUUCUAACCGUCUCAUUGACAACGAUGGCGUUCCGGUCACCGCCGUUUCAUCGGUGGUGGCUUGACCCACCAAAAAACCUUGACCUCAAAUCGGGUGAGACUACCCGCUGAACUUAA
rnacentral:misc_RNA from 1 species